rnacentral:tRNA from 1 species
GCCUGGCUGGCUUCGUCAGUACAGCAUGGGACUCUCGAUCUCAGAGUCAUGAGUUCAAGUCCCAUGUUGGGCC